GCGGAUGUAGCCAAGUGGAUCAAGGCAGUGGAUUGUGAUCCCCCGGGGGCGCGGAG
rnacentral:tRNA from 1 species